ACAAGCGCAAUUUACAUUGAGAUCGCCCUGCACUGCUAUUUACUUUGAGACCUGAUUAGUAUGGGUCGUCUCUGGUCACACACACAGACACACACGCACGUUAAAAGAAAGGAAGGGGGCGCGGGAAAGAGAUGCGUUGCGAUAAGGGGAAGGGGAAUUAAAAGGAAAUUAUUUUGGCUCGUUCUGAAAAAGUUUUUUUUAAUUAGAUUUCUCUGUGUCUCCUCGGGAUUUUAUUUUCUUUCAAAAAGACCCUGAUUAGGAAUUACGACACUUGGACUGGAUUCCAUUGUUUAAUGCCUGGAAGUAGAGGGCUAAGGAGAUUCCAUAAGGAAUGACAAUUUCAUCGGAAGGCCUCUAAAGCGCCAGGGAGCUUUGUGCUGGAGCUGAGAACCCGGAGCAUCUUCUUAGGUCAUGGCCAGCUUCAGAACAUCUGAAAAGAGCAAAGAUAAGAAUGCCUCUGAACUCGUGCAGAAUGCCCUCCUCUUUCAAACCCCCUCCUUCCAGCGAUGAGGAGGAAGGCAGUGCUUUGUCAAUUUCCUGUUCACUCUGACUAUCUGCAGGGAACCCACAAGAAGGGCUAAGAGGAAGUCACCUGCAUCCGCUUCUUUGUUUCCUUGGAACCAAUAUGUAAUAUUAAUACAGGCAAUGAAGGGAGCAACUAGAAUGAUGUUUCACGUUCAUCGUAACAACCACAAUAAUUAAAAAUUGAUGCCACAACACACAUUGGAAUGUGAAAAACAAACAGAGGUCAGAAUCAGAUGACCCAAGAGUCAUUCUGCGCAUGCUUGCAGAGACAUGGAUCCGGAAGUUUGAAAAAAAAAAUCCCACCCAACACAACACAACAGUAAAUCAGGAUAGCCCCUCAGCGGAUCGCGUGCUCAAUCUGCCUCAGUGGGGAAUCCUUCGUUGCUGCUGCGUUUCUGGGAACAAGAAUUGUUUGCGGGGCAGAAGCUGCAGUUGGGAUGCUGAAACAGUGCUGAAAAGAUCCUUGUUUUUCCCAAACCGAGUAGAGGAGAAAAUCUAUCAACUGAAAAUGUGCUGGCAUUCCAGCUGAAGACAUCAUUAUUGUAUCUCAUGAAGGAAAUAAACUAUUUUCCUUUUUAAGUCUGUUCGCCUGUCAAGGAGACAUGGAAAUGUGCUGGCAUUCCAACUGAAGACAUCAUUAUGAGUGAGAAAAUGCUCAAGGCCUUUUUAAAAAAUGGGUACUGAAAGAGAUGCUUCCCUUCUUUGACUCCAGGGGAUGCUGGUAGCUACCCCAGCAGACUGAUACCGGGGGUCAGAGGCUAGCAUUACUGUGUGUAUACUGUGCACCCUUAGGAUUUUUCCGGGAGAUGGGCAAGCAAGUAAUCAUGCCAAAUCUUAAUUAGGAGGCACUGCAUGAAAAGAAGAACUUGACAACAAAAGAAAAGUAACCUGCAAGGAGCGGAGUCUGGGCAACACAACCCUUGGCAGCUGCGUUUUUAAUAAUCUGACAGAUCACUGAUUUCCAUGAAAUGCUGUUUCCAAGGGGACAGGAGACCCCAAAGAAGUCAUGAAGGGAAUCUGCAGUGGAAAGAGAAAACAGAUGAAAAUUUCCAGUUUACUGUGGAUCCAAACCAUGACAGGGAACUGCAGCAGAACCCAACUUUUAGCUACAUGGCUAUGUGAUACACAUGGCAGAAACAAAUAUUUGCUGCUUGCUGACAUCACAGUUUUAUGAGCCCAGAAAAGUGGACUGCAAGGACCUGCUAAAAAGGGAUCCUGAGAAGCAUCUCUCCAAGCAACUACGGUAGUUAAUUUUAGGUUUCCUGCAGGAAAGUGGUACUUUCUGCACAGUCUUUUAAAGACGUCUUGGGGACAUCUUAAAAAAAGCAUCUGCUGAUUUUUUGUCCAGACAGCAUGGACAAAUAAAGCGCUAAAGGAGCCAGUGGUGAUUUUUUCUCCCCCUCGCCAUUUCUGCUGCUUGAAUCUUCUGUGCCACAAACCAUUUGCUGAAGGUUUCCCAGAAAGGUUUCCUCUGCCUGCUCUCUUUUCUGAGUGUAAAGCACAUGAAUAAAGUUAUUUUUUCCUGGUGAUCUCAGGAACAUGUCGGUUUUCCUUUUUUUUUUGUUUCCAAAGAGGUACCGUUGAAGCUACGCAGACUCAAAAUGUGUGCAUGUUGGUGAUUUUUAUAUUGAGUUUGCAUAGAUUCAAAGAUAUCUUACUGGAAAAAAAGGAAAAAUGACACGUUCCUGAGAUCACCAGGAAAAAAAUAACUUUAUUCAUGUAUUUUACACACAGGAAACCUCUGUGGGAAAUCUUCAGCAAAUGGCGGGCAGCAGGGAGAAUCCCUGACGUGGUAGCAAAUGUCUGUUCCGAGCUGCACAGAAAAUGAAAGUAGAAGCUUUAAACUUGGGUGGGAAAAAUAAAACAGGUUGCUCUCUGCACAUCAUUUAAGCCGUCUUGGGGAAAAAAGAUCAUGUUUUCCAAAAAUGACAAAUUGAGAUGAAAUAACACAGAGGUUCUUCCCAAGAUGCUUCUUUUAAUGUCUUCAGGGGACAUUUUAUUUGUGCAGUGCAGAAAGGGCAAUUGUCCACCCUUGCACGGUUUCAUGUAAACAGCUCUCAUUCCAGGCUAGGCUAGCUUGCAUCAAAGUUUGUUGUGAAUAUUGCUCCAGAUGAAUGAAUCUGCAGGGGACUGAGGAGCUUGAUGCCAACUUAAUAGGCCAAAGGUAGGCAAGUUGUUCUUGGCUUUAGUUGCAAGACUGCAAGGGUUUGUAACUCAGAUCACUGGGAACAGGUGGUUACAGCCCUGCAAAUGACAUCCUUUCUGUUUGUCCUCCUGAUGUGAACUGAUAGAGCAAUUCAGAAUUCAUGCAAGGGCACACCUCCAAGCCCCGUAGUCAAUUCUGAACAUAGAUGAGAAUUGUGAUAUCAAUGUCAUGGUGCACUUGCUUUGAAAAAGUCGUUAUGAAGAAUAAUAGAGAGAUUUUGAGGGAAGCCACUGAAAGCUGUAAUUUAAGGUUCCAGAAGCCUCAGUAUUGCGAUUGCCAUUAAAAUUUACAGUGACAGAAGCCCAAUUACAUAUGGUUAUUUUCUUUUCUUAAAUCAAACCAUAUUUCUGCUGUACAUGAAAGAUUCAUUUCCUCCUACCAAUCACUGUCAUGGGAACCUAUCUUUGUAGCUUCUGGUGUCAGAAGAGAUGGGUUAGCCUUAUUCCUGUGACAAUGAAAGGAUCAAUGGGGGUAGCAAAGCUGGGAGCCUCUUUGGAGCUAGCUGAGGAGACUGAUUUGCAUGAUAAUCAGCAGUGGAUCCGCUCAGUGCAAGCCUCUCCACUUAGCAAAGUGCAGCUCAACUUUAAUAGCAGCAGUGAAACAGAAACUAAGUGGAAGCUUUAGCACUAACUCCAGGAAAGCUGGCAGGUAAAGCGAAAAAAAAUCGAGCGAAACAGCUUCAGCGGCAGCUCUUAUGACCAUCGAGGAAUCAAAGGGGCUCAAGUGCAGGGUGACAGUGCUGUCAACUCCUGCAUAUUUGUUUAUUCAAUUAAAUUGUGUUCAUUGAAGGCAACUGGACAACCCAGCAAUCAGAUGAAAAAUCACUAUUUCUACCUUUAUCUUCAUUACAUUCCUUUCUGACCACUCAGUCCAAUGUUAUUCUUUUUGAAAGCAGGAUUGUAAAUCUAAGAACUGAGCCAUUUGUGGAUUAUAUAUUUUAUUUCUUACCACUGCACUUCACACUUUCUCUGAGGAGCUCAAGGCAAUAUACACAUUAUGUGCCCCAUUCCCUACCAUCACGCCAGCUUUAAAAGAAGGGUAGGUGAAGAGACAGUGAGGAGGAUCCUAUCCAGUGUUGGGAUUCAGCAGGUUCGCACCACUUCGGCAGAACCGGUUGUUAAAAUGGUGCUUGUAAACAACCAGUUGUUAAAUUAUUUGAAUCCCACCACUGAUCCUAUCUCAUCAUAUCACUUUACCAAGCAAAAUUCUGAAGCUUUCCCCCAGCCAAUGGAGCCUUCCUCCAACUAAAGGGGUCCUUCCUCAAACAAAAGAGCCGCUUUAUUAGGAAGAAGGCUCCUCAGACUGGGGUAGACUGGCUGUAGGUUUCCUGGUGAACUUCACAGCUGAGCAGGGAUUCAAAGUUAGGGCUUUUAAAAAUACCAUACUAAUGCUCUUUCUCUGCCCUUUCAAUUUUCCUAAGUGGGUGAAUCUAAUAAAACAGUGCAUGGCAGAGUUCAUGUACCUACUAUGCGGAGUUUACAAAUUCUGUGCAAAUCUACAGUAUGCCUACAAAUCAUAGGUGAGCAGGAGUAUUUAGUGAGGUCAAACGUCUGAGGAGCAAAAGCAAUUCCAAAUGCCAUUUGAACAUAAGAACAUAAGAACAAGCCAGCUGGAUCAGACCAGAGUCAAUCUAGUCCAUGAAGACUUACAUAAAAUCGGUGGUGUUUGUUAAAAAGUUAUUAUAGAAGGGUUGUAUCUUCCAGAUAGUACUAAAGCCAAACAAAAACGGAAAGGAAUUGUUAAAGAAACAUUUACAAAUUUCUUUUCAACUUAUGGUUGGAUACGAACAAUCUCAAAAAGCAGUGAGUAGUUAAGCCAGUGCUUAACUAACCAUUUUCUUUGUCUUUCAUUGUACUAGUCUAAUCAGUGGACAGUAAACAGUAAAGACUACUGAAAUGUUCUGAGCAAUAACUAUAACCUAUCUUUCCCAUAAUGAGAGGUUUAUGGGGUUUGUCAGAACUCAUCAACUGAGCAGACUAGACUGAAUUAUUUCAACCUGAGAGGGGCUAAAUAAAUGUCCAAUGGUUGCUUGCCAAUAGGAGAAGUUGAAGACUUGAGAAAAUGCUCAUUCAGGUUGUUUCCCUGCAGCAGGAAGUAAAACAAGAAUGCUGGUAGAGGUCAUGCUAAGCUUCUUCCAGCACUGAAGGUUUCAUAUGAAUGUCAGCAGAUUUUUUUUUUUAAAAGAUGGAACUACUCUUGAUAUUUUUGUGACGAAAUAGCAAGCUUUCCUGACUGCAGACCUGGAAAGUUUCAAUGCUAUCAGUACUUGCUCCUCAGAACAGCAAGAGGAUUCAUCUUAUCUUGGUCUCCGCUGAUCCUCAUAACUGGUGAGUGUGGACUGUGCAAUCCACAUGAAAACGCAGCCUCGGAGUUAGCCAGGGCUGCCAUUGUGGCUGUUUCUGGGGCCAGUGAGCUGCGAGCACAUGCCCGGCUCUGUCUAGUGACAGGGACCCAUUAUGUGACAUGGGAGGGGGCGGACGAGCCUAUUUAAGGUGUCGUCCGCCAUGCUCCAGCCUCUUUCGAGGCUUUGGCAGCGAGCAGGAUGCUGCUCGCUGCUCCAGAGCUGGACCAUGUGCUUGUGAUCAGCCGUUGGGCCUGAGCUGCAGUUUUGUGAAAGAGCUGAGACCGGCUGACAGAGCUUGAAAGUUAAGGUGCUCCAGAGUGAGCUGGGGCACCACAGAACCCAUUGCCUGGGGGGUCUUUUCGGAAGGUGGGAACACCUCCCCCCAGGAUUGUUAAGGGCCAGGGUGGAUGGAGCUGCUGCUCAGGCAGGCUGCAAGGACAUUGCGCAUUUGCCCUUCACCCGCCACCCUUAUUGAAUAUCCUUGUUGGACAUUCUGCCUAGCAACAGUGCUGCAGCAGACUUGGUAAAGACAGGCAGCCAGGCUGUGCAUGAUAGGCUUGGCUGGGAGGCAUUAGCUGGCGUUCACAGGGGUGGGGCUUCCCCCCAAUAGCUUUCUGAUCAACCCCCCCCAUUUUGCUCACCCCUCAAAAGAAAACAUUGUUAUUUAAGUAGCUUAUAGUAUAUUGGUCACUUAUAAUAGGUAGCCCAUAGUUAGUAGUUAGUUCAUAGUUACUGGUUAAGUUAUAGUUGAUAGUUUAGAGUUAGUAGAGUUAAUUAGUUGAUGGCUAUCAAUAAUAAUUGGGGAUUGCUUCAGUAUGACACCCAAAAAAACAAACCUGGAACUGCUCCGAGUGGAGGGUCAGGCCAGCCAGGGCUGGGCCAGGAUCAGGUCCAGUUGUCAUAGCUCAGCUGGGGGGGGGGCAUUCUCAGACCCACCGAUCCACAGUGGGUCCAGUAAGUCAGUCCUCUCACACCCAACCAGCAGGUUCAACUUCCCAAGCAGGUCAACUGCUUCCCAGCUGCUUCCGAGCCACCCGCCACUGGUGGUCAGUCCUCUCAUGGUACCCCCUAUGACGCCAUGCCUGGCGCCACCUGUGGCAGAUGGAUGGCUAGGGCAUUAUACACCUGUGCCGGCUAGUGUGCAAUUGUUUAUGGGGCUGGCUGCAGGUAACACGAGUCAGACAGGGGAAAGCCCAUUUUUGUAUUUUGGCCAGUUCAAUAACCCGGACUUAGUGUUGGGGCCAACUGCAGUUGGAUCAGUGCAGCAGGGUCCGCCAUAUGGGGUGUCGUCCAAUGGAAAUUUCAUGCAAGGGCUUUCCAAUACCCUCAUGCACUUGUCCCAGUGCAUUGGUGGCAGAACUACCCCAGGAUCAUUUUCCCCGCUGUCUGUUCUCCCCCCACUAGGGUGGUGAGCCCUCAGGUGACUGAGCUGCCAACUUCAGCAGAGACGCCCACGACAUUGGACACUCAGGUGAUAUGCCCAGAGGUCGAGGUAGGAGAGGAUGGAGGUCCUCUCAGCGCUCCAGAUCAUUCAGCCCCUCUUCCUCCAUUGAGUCCUCAGAUGAGGAAUCAGCACAGGUCAUAGGUGAAUUUUGGGCAACUGGAGAACAGGUUCCCCCUCUUCCCCAGUGGCUAGCUAGGAUGCGUAAUCCCAGUGAUGGAACUCAAGGGACGCCACCCACCGGCAUCGGCUCCAAGUUGGCGGCUUUAUGGGAUGCUGGGGAUUCUCCUGAGUUUCCAAAAAACCUUCAUGGGUAUUAUAUGGAAAUUUUUCAACUUCUUCGGCCUGAGGUUGAGCAAGAGGUGUCUGGGUCUCGUGUCACCAAGAGAAAAUAGGGGAAAGCGUGUGCAGAGCACACUUUUGAUAAUUGGUUAAAAAGAUACACUGAAUAUUUGGCACUGAUAGAGGCUGCUUACCCUCUCAGGGCUUGGCAUUUGACAACCCACUUGUCGCACGUACUCAGAGCCCGAUCAAUAGCGGGGGAGGCUGCCACCCUAGAAUACGAUGAGGCAUUUCAAAAGAGUGCAUCUCAUUGGGUGGGCCAGCGCUGGGACUUGAUUCAUAACCAGACCUGGGUGGUCACUGUCCACCCUCUGGCAAAGGCUCAAGGGGAGGAGAGCCGCAAGGGGAUGGGCACCUUGUGGGAUUCUACCUGGCUGGUGUGCUGGGAUUUUAAUCAGAAGGGCUGCUGGCAUGUUAAAUGCACGUACGACCAUAUCUGUUCUGAUUGCCAUGGCUCUCAUGCACGGGCACCCUGCACCAAGGCCAGCUGGAACCCUGGCUCGGGCAGCCCGAGAUGAGACAACAGCAGCCAGGGAGGAGUACCCGCUAUGCAGAAGGCGUGAAAUUCCUGCAAUCCUUCCUGCAGAGUCUGCAAGGAGGUUUUAGGGGAAAAGGUAUUUGUCUUUCCCUGGAAUGUCACUAGUGAUCCUGGCUGUAUCAGUGCUAAAAAGGAGAGCUGGAAGUUGUAUUGAAAUCACCUGCAAAAACCAAAUGGUGGUAAUGCCCUGUAAGAUGUCAAACUCUGUAUAAAUCCUAGCACCUUCUAACUGCUGCUGCUAAAAUGAUCAGCAAUUGUAAUACAAACUACGUUUAUGUUACUGCAGAAAGGUUAUAGAAUAACUGAGUGACAUAAACACAGAUUGUCCAAAUCACCAAGAAAUAUUUAUUAUAUUUGUAGAAUGAUAAAAUAUCUGACAGAAGCAAAACAUGUAAAGGAAUGGCCUAUUGGGGUAUGUUUUAUUUUGUGAUGAGAAAAUGAAGUCACAAAAAAUUGUCUACACCUUUCAGUGAUAUUCUUCCAGUGCUGAAAUGUUAACCAUGUCACUUCAAAUACAUAAUACUUUGAGGGCAUAUAUGCAAAACAUAUUUAAAUUCCUCAGUAGAUUACAAUGGUGAGAAUGAUGUUGUCACUGCCCUAUUACAUUAUUAGAUUACCAACUAGGGUUUGGAACAUUUCUGUGGGCUGAUUUUCAGCUUCAAUAAACUUUACAUGAAUUGUUCAGUGGCUCUUUUUAGAGGCAGGGAAAAUGGUCGGUGUGGCAGUAUAAACCAAAACAUUUCACAGCUGGAGAUGACAUACAACAUUCUGAUGUGCAAAGAGAAGUGCAACAAUUCACAGCCUUGAAUAUUUGGACAGGAAAUGUUGAUGUCAUUAUUGAUCUUAUCUCUAUCAAAAUGCUUUACAAGGAUUAUCUUCAGAAUAUCUGGGAAUCAAUUAGGUUGAAGACUGCUUCACAAAUCAUAAUAAAGAGUGAAAACUAUGUGGUGUGUAUUAUUGAUUGGACACAGAAAUUUUGCUCAUGUUGUUUUGUUCUUCCAUAUGUUUUGUUCAUCUUCUUUAUUAUAGGUGUUACAGCUGUUUGGAUUCUUCUAUUUUGUAUUCAUUUUCAUUGGUUUUCAUUUUAAUUUCUGAUCAUAACCUUUUUGUUUUCCUUUCAGCUGGGACAAACUUCUCUUGCUUAUUGUGUUUGCAGACUCCACUAGGCUUGAAGUAAUUUUGAGACCGGCCCACAUCCGGGUCCAGGUUAGCAUAGUGGACAUUUAUUAUACAUAAUCUUUACUAUUGUUAACAGGAUCUGUUUUAGAUACCUUGAUGUACUUUGGAAAGUUGAUUAAUGUUGAUAUACACAACAUUCACACCAGAGAACUUUAUGGAAGAACUUUGUUAAACCUUAUUUGAAAAUAGACAACCAUUGCUGUGAGCCUUUUUCAGUGUAAUUUUCACUGUUUACACUGUGUACACUGAUCCCCACAUAAUUAUUAUAGUGACGACCCUGACCAUGCCAUAUUUUCUUGGCAACAAAGUUUGCCAAGUUGACAUCAUGAAUAGCAGUGAAACAGAGAGCUACCAGCUCUUCCCCAGGCCUGGCAGGACAUUAAAAGCAUUGCCUUCGUGAGAACCAGGAAGACUCCAAGGGCCUGUCAGUGAUCCUCCAAAGAGGGGCUCAUAAAAGGAGACCCUCCAGUUCCUCCAACAAGGCUCAGAGGAUGGAUGCCACAGUUGAUGGAUACCUCCACGACGACAUCUCCUCUCAUGUUGACCUUGCAGGCCCAAUCCUGCCUUUCCUGCUGGCCUGUCCCACCCCAACCACCCUACUCUAAAACGCACUAAGAAGUCAGCACUAGAGCGACACAAGCCAUCAGAUUGAACAGCUCCAGGUUCAUCUUGGGCACUCUCUUUUUCUGUUUGAGCCUGCUCCAGAAUCCAGGACCCAAAGGUCUUUACUACAAAAGGGGCAGCCUAUGCUCUGCCAAUAAAAUAUCUGUCUAUUGUU